AUGUCCAUGUACCUUUUAUCCAAAACUAUACUUGCCAGGAUUGACAAGUGUAGGAGGAGAUUCUUCUGGCAUGUGACCCAAAAUAAAAAACGAUAUUACCCGGUUAAGUGGACUAGAAUUUGUAGAUCCAAGAGUAAAGGGGGGCUGGGUGUGAAAGAUCUUCAUAAGCAGAAUCUUAGCCUGCUUACUAAAUGGUGGUGGAAGUUAGAAACUAAAUCUGGACUUUGGCAGGAUAUUGUGAAAGCUAAGUACUUCAGUAGGGCUACCGUGGCUGAUAUUAAAAUGAAGUGCAAUGACUCACCAUGCUGGAAAGCCAUUAUGAAGGUGAAAUAUCUUUAUAUGGCAGGGAGGAGAGUAAUUGUGCAAUCUGGAAACAUUGCCAGACUGUGGGUUGAUCCCAUUGGGGACAAUAUACUUAUGGCUGAGCAGUUUCCUCGUCUUUUCUCUAUUUGCAAUUAUCCUGAGUGCACUAUUGAUAAAUGCUUAAAUGUUGAUCCCUCCUCAUUCUUUAGGAGAAGGUUGAAUAGUGAGCUUAAUGACCAGUGGGUUUUUGUGAGUAAAUUGGCUAGAGAAGCAUGUGUUUCAGACGCUGCUGAUGUGAUCAAAUGGGGCUUGGGUGGGAAAACCUCUUUUACCACCAAAUCUGUUUAUUCGUUCCUGGAAAAGAAUGUUGCUGGAUGUGAUUAUAUAUGGAUCUGGAGUGCCAGAAUCCCUCUCAAAAUUCAAAUAUUGUUGUGGCAACUUUUUCAGGAUGCUGUCCUGACUAGGGAUGUGAUGAAACACCGAGGGUGGAAAGGGAACCCAAAGUGUUCUUUUUGCGGAGGGAGAGAAACCGCACAACACCUGUUCUUUGCUUGCCCUGUUGCCAGGGUAAUCUGGAGGACAGUGGCAUGUAUGUUUGGCACUGCUUUGUGCCCUGAUAAUAUUUGGCAACCUUAUUCAUGGUGUUAUACGUUCUUCCCUGGAGGGGAAAAGUUUUAUACGGCAGGGAUUGCUGCUAUGUGCUGGGCGAUCUGGUCGUGUCGUAACAGGGUUACUUUUGAGUUCAAACCGCUUACAAACCCAUUUGAAUGUAUAUUCUCUGCCUGUGCUUUAAUUUGCUACUGGGCAGGAAUGAUGAAGCAAGAGGAUGCAGUUGCCAUGAGGGACGGGGCGAAGAUGCUGAAGGAGAAUGCGUCGAUGAUGAUGAGGAUCUGUGCUGCAAACCACGAAGAGGCAUCCCGUUGA
rnacentral:rRNA from 1 species